rnacentral:tRNA from 1 species
GGUUGUGGCUUAGUGGUAAGAGCACUUGCCUAACAUGUGUAAGGCCCUGAGUUAGAUUCUCAGCACCA